GGACAGAUGGCCGAGCUGGUUAUGGCGCCAGGUUAAGGUCAACUUAACACUUCUAAUAGUAUUAAUACUACUAUUCCUGGUCCAGAAAUGGGCGUGGGUUCGAGUCCCACUCUGUUCA
rnacentral:tRNA from 1 species